GGUUGACCUCGGAUCAGGUAGGG
rnacentral:rRNA from 8 species